GAUAGGUGGGAUGGACUGAGAGGUUGAGGGGUGGUCUAUGGUGAUAGGUGGGAUGGGCUGAGAGGUUGAGGGGUGGGAUUAAAGAGCUGAGGUCUAUGGUGAUAGGUGGGAUGGGCUGAGAGUGGCUGAGGGGUGGUCUAUGGUGAUAGGUGGGAUGGACUGAGAGGUUGAGGGGUGGUCUAUGGUGAUAGGUGGGAUGGGCUGAGAGGUUGAGGGGUGGGAUUAAAGAGCUGAGGUCUAUGGUGAUAGGUGGGAUGGGCUGAGAGUGGCUGAGGGAAGGGUUUAAAGUGCAGAGGUCUAUGGUGAUAGGUGGGAUGGGCUGAGAGUGGCUGAGGGGUGGUCUAUGGUGAUAGGUGGGAUGGGCUGAGAGUGGCUGAGGGGUGGGAUUAAAGAGCUGAGGUCUAUGGUGAUAGGUGGGAUGGGUUGAGAGUGGUUGAGGGGUGGGAUUAAAGAGCUGAGGUCUAUGGUGAUAGGUGGGAUGGGCUGAGAGUGGCUGAGGGGUGGGAUUAAAGAGCUGAGGUCUAUGGUGAUAGGUGGGAUGGGCUGAGAGUGGCUGAGCGUUGGGAUUAAAGAGUUGAGGUCUAUGGUGAUAGGUGGGAUAGGCUGAGAGUGGCUGAGGGAUGG
ensembl:lncRNA